AGGUGCCACUCAUACUGCGAUUGCUCGGCGCCAUCCGCAUCGGCUUGACGACCGCUCGCUACGUUCCGUUAGCC
rnacentral:sRNA from 1 species